AACACAGCAGGAGAGAAUCUUUGCUAAUUAAACCUUAAAUACAUGCCUUAAGUAUGUAACAUAUGGCUUUCAAAUUAACAACAGGGUGUAAGGGAGCUGACCGAGUAAGGCUUGGCAACAGGCCAAAAGGAAGUUGCCCUGCUAGCUGGCAUAUACUGAUCUUUUGCGUUGGAUAAGUGCAGCUAAGCCUAAGGGCUUUGUUUACGGCCGCGCCUGAAUGCAUAUCAAGUCACUGCAAGUGGCUGAAACGAAGGUAAUUCAAGUGCACUCCAGAAUCCCGGCAGGGAUGCUGUAUAGUACAUUGUGCACAUUGUUAUGGAGUAAUAUACUAUGCAGCAUUUCAGAGGGGAUUCGGGAGUCCACAUGGCAUAUAAUUGUCACUUUUUAGAAAGGAACAAAACAUGAACACAUAGCCAGCAUAUGACCAUUGGGAACAUGACUGAAUUUACAUAUAUGAGUGGCAAUUCAUGAUCCGUCAUGCUGCGCAAGGAGAAUGACAACUGUCAUGACCAUGACUCUGCCUCAUGACCGGUAACAUGACCGGUCAUGAGGCCUCAACGUUGGUGAUGUUCUUCUUCAUGAACAACAUCCCCUUCAAUGUCGUUCAGAAUCCGUACUUCUUGGACUUCGUGACAACACUGAAGUCCACAUACAUGCCCCCAGGUAAGACGUACGUGCCCCCUAGUCACACGGUUUGGAGGGAGUUUCACCCCCUACUUAAACCAUGUUUGCCGCAGGGAGAGAGGCCAUUGGUUCGCGUGCUCCCGGGCAUCAAUGAGCACGGUUGAGGCAUUGCUGCGGACCACUUUCCCCUGGUUCGACUGGACCAAGCAGCCGCUGGAGCUCAACCCUGGCCAGAAGGCGAUGUCGUUCGCCGUGGGGGAGUGAGGAGGCUUUAGGGGGGUGUGGUCUGUCGUCUGUGGUGUUGGCCUGACACCCAAGCUAUCUCUAUUUGGGCUGUAGUAUUUGUGAUAAUCACGGUUUGUUAGGAAUGCUAGAAUGCAGACGCGAAUGUGUGCGCACAUGGCUCGAUGGCUGUCCAGGUCUGGCUGUUGCCCAAAUUCAUAUUUUAUCUUGUGAGAGAUCGUUUUCCAAACACUAAAGCAAUACGCCUUUCAUUGUAAAAGCGAAAAACAUGAAUUCCAUGACGGAAUAGCGCAAAAGGAAUACACCACGAGUAUUGUAAUACGGCAUGGCGUGAACCCCGGUGUAUUGAUACGCCAUACGCCUGGCGUAUUAAUUUGAGGUACCAUUAUUACGCCAGACGGCCAAAACGAAUACGGUCGCAUCCCUGAUGCUGCGCAAGGAGAAUGACAACUGUCAUGACCAUGACUCUGCCUCAUGACCGGUAACAUGACCGGUCAUGAGGCCUCAUGAGUGGUCAUGAGGCAACAUGACCAGAUCUAUGACAGGAAACCCCCAGCAUGACCACAUCCAUGACCAAGUCGUUCCCCGAGUGGUUGGUGAUGUUCUUCUUCAUGAUCAACAUCCCCUUCAAUGUCGUUCAGAAUCCGUACUUCUUGGACUUCGUGACAACGCUGAAGUCCACAUACAUGCCCCCAGGUAAGACGUACGUGCCCCCUAGUCACACGGUUUGGAGGGAGUUUCACCCCCUACUUAAACCAUGUUUGCCGCAGGGAGAGAGGCCAUUGGUUCGCGUGCUCCCGGGCAUCAAUGAGCACGGUUGAGGCAUUGCUGCGGACCACUUUCCCCUGGUUCGACUGGACCAAGCAGCCGCUGGAGCUCAACCCUGGCCAGAAGGCGAUGUCGUUCGCCGUGGGGGAGUGAGGAGGCUUUAGGGGGGUGUGGUCUGUCGUCUGUGGUGUUGGCCUGACACCCAAGCUAUCUCUAUUUGGGCUGUAGUAUUUGUGAUAAUCACGGUUUGUUAGGAAUGCUAGAAUGCAGACGCGAAUGUGUGCGCACAUGGCUCGAUGGCUGUCCAGGUCUGGCUGUUGCCCAAAUUCAUAUUUUAUCUUGUGAGAGAUCGUUUUCCAAACACUAAAGCAAUACGCCUUUCAUUGUAAAAGCGAAAAACAUGAAUUCCAUGACGGAAUAGCACAAAAGGAAUACGCCACGAGUAUUGUAAUACGGCAUGGUGUGAACCCCGGCGUAUUGAUACGCCAUACGCCUGGCGUAUUAAUUUGAGGUACCAUUAUUACGCCAGACGGCCAAAACGAAUACGGUCGCAUCCCUGUACAUGGUGGACCAUCAACCAUCAUCAUCCACCCUCGUGUCAUGUUCGCCCGUGUACUAAUGUACACCAGGCAUUCCACAAAGACAUGCAUUUCGUCUUCAACCGCCCCGCAGUCACAAAGCCUGCAGGUGCAUGCUGUGCACUCAUGGCCGUUAGGUUGGUUAAUCUCUAACUCCCAACAGCCUAACCGGAAAC
rnacentral:lncRNA from 1 species